AUUGAACGCUGGCGGCAGGCUUAACACAUGCAAGUCGAGCGAGCGGCGGACGGGUGAGUAAUGUCUGGGAAACUGCCUGAUGGAGGGGGAUAACUACUGGAAACGGUAGCUAAUACCGCCUACCAUCACAUGUGCCCCGAUGGGAUUAGCUAGUAGGUGGGGUAAUGGCUCACCUAGGCGACGAUCCCUAGCUGGUCUGAGAGGAUGACAAGCCACACUGGAACUGAGACACGGCCCAGACUCCUACGGGAGGCAGCAGUGGGGAAUAUUGUACAAUGGGCGCAAGCCUGAUGCAGCCAUGCCGCGUGUGUGAAGAAGGCAUUCGGGUUGUAAAGCACUUUCAGCGAGGAGGCGUUACUCGCAGAAGAAGCACCGGCUAACUCCGUGCCAGCAGCCGCGGUAAUUC
rnacentral:rRNA from 1 species